GACGAACGCUGGCGGCGUGCCUAAUACAUGCAAGUUGAGCGCUGAAGGUUGGUACUUGUACCAACUGGAUGAGCAGCGAACGGGUGAGUAACGCGUGGGGAAUCUGCCUUUGAGCGGGGGACAACAUUUGGAAACGAAUGCUAAUACCGCAUAAAAACUUUAAACACAAGUUUUAAGUUUGAAAGAUGCAAUUGCAUCACUCAAAGAUGAUCCCGCGUUGUAUUAGUUAGUUGGUGAGGUAAAGGCUCACCAAGGCGAUGAUACAUAGCCGACCUGAGAGGGUGAUAGGCCACAUUGGGACUGAGACAAGGCCCAAACUCCUACGGGAGGCAGCAGUAGGGAAUCUUCGGCAAUGGACGAAAGUCUGACCGAGCAACGCCGCGUGAGUGAAGAAGGGUUUCGGAUCGUAAAACUCUGUUGGUAGAGAAGAACGUUGGUGAGAGUGGAAAGCUCAUCAAGUGACGGUAACUACACAGAAAGGGACGGCUAACUACGUG
rnacentral:rRNA from 1 species